CACGAACUGUGCAAACGUUAUUCGGAAUCACUGGGCUUAAAGAGUUCGUAGGCGGCGCGUUAAGUCGGGUGUGAAAUCCCUCGGCUCAACCGAGGAAUUGCGCCCGAAACUGGCGUGCUUGAGUGAGAUAGAGGUGAGCGGAACUGAUGGUGGAGCGGUGAAAUGCGUUGAUAUCAUCAGGAACACCGGUGGCGAAAGCGGCUCACUGGGUCUCAACUGACGCUGAGGAACGAAAGCUAGGGGAGCGAACGGG
rnacentral:rRNA from 1 species